AAUGACCAACUUCAGAUUCACAGGUGAGAGACACUGGCGCUAAGAAAACAUUGGCAUUAAUCUGACAGACCCGAUGUUCAGAGGAGUUUACAGAGGAACUCAGAAACAUGAAGAUGGUUUUCCUCAGGUCGUGGAGAGAGCGCUGAAGGUCAGCAAAGCUGGUUAUUUAUAAAUCAUAUGUGGUCAGAAUGAGAUUGAUGGUGUUCAUCAUCACUGGAGGAAACCUGGAGGACUCGCACAGACUCCAGAGGAGUUCUUCAGUACGGUGGGCUGUCACCCGACACGCUGCGCUGAGUUCGAUCCGCAGGGCGCGGGUCAGUACCUGGCAUCUCUCACGGAUCUGAGCCUCGUGACAGACAGAAGGUGAUCGCUGUGGGAGAGUGUGGCCUCGGUACUUCGAGCGGCAGUUUGAUCUGGAAGAAGAGGCUCGCUUACCCAUGUUCCUCAGCUGCAGGAACGCACACGCAGACUUCCUGGACAUCAUGAAGAGGAACAGAGAGCGGUGUGUCGGUGGAGUGUGGUUGUCAGGUUCACUCGUUUGACGGCUCUCAGCGGGACGCAGCGGCUCUUCUUGAUCUGGAUCUGUACAUCCGAAUCAACGGCUGACAGGUGCUGGAGGUGAUGGCCGGUGUCAGGGACGAAGGUCCACUGGACCUCGCUGAAACCAUCUACAACAACACCACAAGACUGUUCUUCAAACACACUUCAUGAGAACAACUUCCUAUGUACUAUACAACACAUGCACAAUAAAUGUGACAAGAAACAUGUAAUAUACUGGCUUUUUUGUUAAUUGAAAUA